GCCUGGUAUUACAUACCUGAAUCCCAGCUAUGGGGAGGCUGAUGCUGGUGGAUCACUUGAGUUCUGGAGUUCUGAGCUAUCCUGGGCUGAGCCAAUUGGGUAUCUGCACCAAAUUCAGCAUCAAUAUGGUGAGCCCCCUUGGAUCAGGGGUCCACCAGGCUGCCCAAGGGAGGUGAACCAGCCUCGGUUGGAAAUGGAGCAGGUCAGUAAUGGAGUUGGGACAAAGUGGCCACUCUACUUUCAGCCUGGGAUAGGGAGACCCUGUCUCC
rnacentral:sRNA from 1 species